rnacentral:misc_RNA from 1 species
GUAACAAGGUCUCCGUUGGUGAACCAGCGGAGGGAUCAUUACCGAGUUUACAACUCCCAAACCCCUGUGAACAUACCUAUACGUUGCCUCGGCGGAUCAGCCCGCGCCCCGUAAAACGGGACGGCCCGCCCGAGGACCCCUAAACUCUGUUUUUAGUGGAACUUCUGAGUAAAACAAACAAAUAAAUCAAAACUUUCAACAACGGAUCUCUUGGUUCUGGCAUCGAUGAAGAACGCAGCAAAAUGCGAUAAGUAAUGUGAAUUGCAGAAUUCAGUGAAUCAUCGAAUCUUUGAACGCACAUUGCGCCCGCCAGUAUUCUGGCGGGCAUGCCUGUUCGAGCGUCAUUUCAACCCUCAAGCUCAGCUUGGUGUUGGGACUCGCGGUAACCCGCGUUCCCCAAAUCGAUUGGCGGUCACGUCGAGCUUCCAUAGCGUAGUAAUCAUACACCUCGUUACUGGUAAUCGUCGCGGCCACGCCGUUAAACCCCAACUUCUGAAUGUUGACCUCGGAUCAGGUAGGAAUACCCGCUGAACUUAAGCAUAUCAAUAAGCGGAGGAAAAGAAACCAACAGGGAUUGCCCUAGUAACGGCGAGUGAAGCGGCAACAGCUCAAAUUUGAAAUCUGGCUCUCGGGCCCGAGUUGUAAUUUGUAGAGGAUGCUUUUGAUGCGGUGCCUUCCGAGUUCCCUGGAACGGGACGCCAUAGAGGGUGAGAGC